UACCAGCACCCCGAGUGGUCGGGACGUUUAUUGGGCCUAAAGCAUCCGUAGCCGGUUCUACAAGUCUUCCGUUAAAUCCACCUGCUUAACAGAUGGGCUGCGGAGGAUACUAUAAGACUAGGAGGCAGGAGAGGCAAGCGGUACUCAGUGGGUAGGGGUAAAAUCCGUUGAUCCAUUGAAGACCACCAGUGGCGAAGGCGGCUUGCCAGAAUGCGCUCGACGGUGAGGGAUGAAAGCUGGGGGAGCAAACCGG
rnacentral:rRNA from 1 species